rnacentral:rRNA from 1 species
UUCGGGUUGUCAUGCCAAUGGCACUGCCCGGUAGCUAAAUGCGGAAGAGAUAAGUGCUGAAAGCAUCUAAGCACGAAACUUGCCCCGAGAUGAGUUCUCCCUGAGACUUUAGGUCUCCUGAAGGAACGUUGAAGACGACGACGUUGAUAGGCCGGGUGUGUAAGCGCAGCGAUGCGUUGAGCUAACCGGUACUAAUGAACCGUGAGGCUUAACCUUACAACGCCGAAG